rnacentral:lncRNA from 1 species
CUCUCAGUCCCGAACUUUACAGGCCGCCCCCUGACGUCAGGAAGGGCCCUGCCAAUGGAGAGGGGCGGCCUGGACCCUAGGAGAGGGGAAGUGGGGGAGGGUCCUCGUGCACAAAGGCCGCGCUCGGGGGAGGGGUUUAUGUACACGUUCCCUAGAGGAGGGAGGGAGCCCACUCGGACCCAAGCCAGGGCCUAAUUCCAACUCGAUUCUUCCUUUAAAUUCCCCAGGCCAGUUAGCCCCCAAAUCAUCCUGGAUCUCUGUGAGUCCAACGGAGAGCCCUGGGCCUUCUGACGUGUGUGAGGGCGUGGGUGAUGUUCCAAGGUCACGAACAGGGCUGAUUAAUGCUGAUAGCAACCCCAGCCCCUGCUGUAUUUUAAGGAUUUUGUCAGAAGCAGCAGAUUGCUAACAGUUAUUUGGUUAUAUGGUCAUCUUAACGAAGUCCAGCAAAAUUCCAGAGCUAUAAAGUCAUCACAAACAAGUUCCAGAUGAUUGCUGACAGAUUUUCCAAAUAUGCUAAAAAAGGGUCUACAACAAGGGUCUACUUGCAUCAGUUUCUGAAAGCAAUAUACUCUGCCUCUUCAAAAGGAACUCAACAAUUUCCUGUGCAUUAUACAGAAUUAUAGACAACAUUUAUGUGGGCUGCUGCUGAUCUUCAUCCUUCCCUCUUAAAUUUCAGAUAAAGUUUGUAUAUAUUUACAUUAGGUGACAUCUGGCUGUGGACCUAGAGGUUUCACUGAGGCUUUCCCUCUUGUUAUUGUUGUUCAUCCUUUAUUCUCCAAGAGGACUAGUGCAUCAUAAGGGUGAUGGUUUUUAAUGAGGCAGAGCUAUAGAAAGUCAUCCACCUCAUUUUCUCCUCCAGAAUUAUUGGAAUCCAGGGGCAAGACAAAAAUUUAGAUAAGUGGUGAUGGCCCAGGAUGUAGUGGGUGAUCUUGGCCUUUUUAAAUUAAGAUCUUUCCCAGGUCUCAAUUUGUCUGCAACAAUGUCCACUCAAUGACUAAGGGUUACACAAGAAUUGAG